AGUGAGGGUGGACUCAAGAUUGAGUGGGUGGACAACACACAUGCCCUGGGGGUUUUCUCCAGUGAGACCGCAGCACUCCAUGCCCUCUCCAUCUGCCAUCCAACACUAAAGGCAAGAGAACUGUCCAAAGGGAGCAAAGGUGCCAAAGGGAAGGCGAUGAGACGGGCAGGUAGGCAAUUCACCAAGCUUAUUGGAGCCCUGUAGAUUAUAAUGAUAUGUUUAUUCUGGACUGAAAACUUGUCACCCUUUGGUGAAAAUCACUGCUUUGAGCAGGACAAAGUCACGGGGUGAACGAGGUAAAUGAGGUCAGGCUGCUGAAAUAAGCCUACUUCACUACAAACUGUCAUCACUAAAACACCA